CCUACGGGAGGCAGCAGUCGGGAAUAUUGCGCAAUGGAGGAAACUCUGACGCAGUGACGCCGCGUAUAGGAAGAAGGUUUUCGGAUUGUAAACUAUUGUCAUCAGGGAAGAUAAAAGACAGUACCUGAGGAGGAAGCUCCGGCUAACUAUGUGCCAGCAGCCGCGGUAAUACAUAGGGAGCAAGCGUUAUCCGGAUUUAUUGGGUGUAAAGGGUGCGUAGACGGGAAAGCAAGUUAGUUGUGAAAUCCCUCGGCUUAACUGAGGAACUGCAACUAAAACUGUUUUUCUUGAGUGUCGGAGAGGAA
rnacentral:rRNA from 1 species